ACUUCACCCAUUACUUUUUAAAAUAAUAUUUUACUACACUUUAAACCUACCUAGCAUAUAACUGAAAAGGUAUAUCUUAUUUAUUACUUUUUCCUUUUGUCUCAGGAAAAUACUAAUAAAUAUACGUACUAAACACUCCCGAAAUUAAUAGAACUAAUUUCAGUCCCCCAAAAUGUGACAAAAUCUAUCAAACUCUAAUUAGAAACUAAACAUCAAACGAUAUUAAUAAUAACUGGUUAUUUUACAACAAUUUACAAGAAUAAACUUAUUAUUCAAUUAUUACACUAAAAUUUACAUACAAAAAUAAAAGUAUUUUCAUAGUUUAACAACUAUAUUAAAAUAUUUACCUGUAAUACAAUAAAAUUAACUACUAACAAUACAUAUCAAUGUAUAUAUAAGUAAUUAAAACUUAAUUUUAGCUAAAAAACUCUAUUUAAAAUAGACUGUUUAACAAAAACAUAACUUUUAGCCUUCGCUAAAAGCAAUUCCUGCUCCAUGAUUUUAAAUAGCCGCAGAUUUCCUGUGCUAAGGUAGCAUAAUCACUUGUCUUUUAAUUUAAGAAUAGAAUGAACGGAAAAACUGUUUUAAUCUGUUUCUGUUAAAUUCAAUAAAAUUACUUUAAAAGUAAAAACUCUUUUAUUAAAAGAAAGACGACAAGACCCUAACAAACUUUACUUUAGUUAAGCUGGGGCGGCAAAAUAAAUAUAUCUUAUUUAACACCUAUUUUUAUUAACAAUGUUACUGUAGGGAUAACAGCAUAAUUUAAUUUUAAAGCUCUUAUACAAAAUCAAGAUUAUGACCUCGAUGUUGAAUUAAAUGUCUCUAGUAAGUAAAAAAACUAAAAGAAAGUCUGUUCGACUUUUAAAAAUUUACAUGAUUUGAGUUCAGACCGGUGUAAGCCAGGUCGGUUUCUAUCUUCUUUAAAUAAACCCUAGUACGAAAGGACCAUGUUUUAUUCUACUAGC
rnacentral:rRNA from 1 species